rnacentral:rRNA from 1 species
AGAGUUUGAUCAUGGCUCAGGACGAACGCUGGCGGCGUGCCUAAUACAUGCAAGUCGAGCGAAUCUUGAGGUGCUUGCACCUCUUGAUUAGCGGCGGACGGGUGAGUAACACGUGGGCAACCUGCCUGUAAGACUGGGAUAACACCGGGAAACCGGUGCUAAUACCGGAUAAUCCUUUUCCUCUCAUGUGGAAAAGCUGAAAGUCGGUUUACGCUGACACUUACAGAUGGGCCCGCGGCGCAUUAGCUAGUUGGUGAGGUAACGGCUCACCAAGGCGACGAUGCGUAGCCGACCUGAGAGGGUGAUCGGCCACACUGGGACUGAGACACGGCCCAGACUCCUACGGGAGGCAGCAGUAGGGAAUCUUCCGCAAUGGACGAAAGUCUGACGGAGCAACGCCGCGUGAGCGAUGAAGGCCUUCGGGUCGUAAAGCUCUGUUGUUAGGGAAGAACAAGUACCGGAGUAACUGCCGGUACCUUGACGGUACCUAACCAGAAAGCCACGGCUAACUACGUGCCAGCAGCCGCGGUAAUACGUAGGUGGCAAGCGUUGUCCGGAAUUAUUGGGCGUAAAGCGCGCGCAGGCGGUCCUUUAAGUCUGAUGUGAAAGCCCACGGCUCAACCGUGGAGGGUCAUUGGAAACUGGGGGACUUGAGUACAGAAGAGGAAAGCGGAAUUCCACGUGUAGCGGUGAAAUGCGUAGAGAUGUGGAGGAACACCAGUGGCGAAGGCGGCUUUCUGGUCUGUAACUGACGC